GACGAACGCUGGCGGCGUGCUUAACACAUGCAAGUCGAACGGAAAGGCCCUGCUUUUGUGGGGUGCUCGAGUGGCGAACGGGUGAGUAACACGUGAGUAACCUGCCCUUGACUUUGGGAUAACUUCAGGAAACUGGGGCUAAUACCGGAUAGGAGCUCCUGCUGCAUGGUGGGGGUUGGAAAGUUUCGGCGGUUGGGGAUGGACUCGCGGCUUAUCAGCUUGUUGGUGGGGUAGUGGCUUACCAAGGCUUUGACGGGUAGCCGGCCUGAGAGGGUGACCGGCCACAUUGGGACUGAGAUACGGCCCAGACUCCUACGGGAGGCAGCAGUGGGGAAUAUUGCACAAUGGGCGGAAGCCUGAUGCAGCAACGCCGCGUGCGGGAUGACGGCCUUCGGGUUGUAAACCGCUUUCGCCUGUGACGAAGCGUGAGUGACGGUAAUGGGUAAAGAAGCACCGGCUAACUACGUGCCAGCAGCCGCGGUGAUACGUAGGGUGCGAGCGUUGUCCGGAUUUAUUGGGCGUAAAGGGCUCGUAGGUGGUUGAUCGCGUCGGAAGUGUAAUCUUGGGGCUUAACCCUGAGCGUGCUUUCGAUACGGGUUGACUUGAGGAAGGUAGGGGAGAAUGGAAUUCCUGGUGGAGCGGUGGAAUGCGCAGAUAUCAGGAGGAACACCAGUGGCGAAGGCGGUUCUCUGGGCCUUUCCUGACGCUGAGGAGCGAAAGCGUGGGGAGCGAACAGGCUUAGAUACCCUGGUAGUCCACGCUGUAAACGGUGGGUACUAGGUGUGGGGUCCAUUCCACGGGUUCCGUGCCGUAGCUAACGCUUUAAGUACCCCGCCUGGGGAGUACGGCCGCAAGGCUAAAACUCAAAGGAAUUGACGGGGCCCCGCACAAGCGGCGGAGCAUGCGGAUUAAUUCGAUGCAACGCGUAGAACCUUACCUGGGUUUGACAUGGAUCGGGAGUGCUCAGAGAUGGGUGUGCCUCUUUUGGGGUCGGUUCACAGGUGGUGCAUGGCUGUCGUCAGCUCGUGUCGUGAGAUGUUGGGUUAAGUCCCGCAACGAGCGCAACCCUUGUUCACUGUUGCCGGCACGUUAUGGUGGGGACUCAGUGGAGACCGCCGGGGUCAACUCGGAGGAAGGUGGGGAUGACGCCAAGUCAUCAUGCCCCUUAUGUCCAGGGCUUCACGCAUGCUACAAUGGCUGGUACAGAGAGUGGCGAGCCUGUGAGGGUGAGCGAAUCUCGGGAAGCCGGUCUCAGUUCGGAUUGGGGUCUGCAACUCGACCUCAUGAAGUCGGAGUCGCUAGUAAUCGCAGAUCAGCAACGCUGCGGUGAAUACGUUCCCGGGGCU
rnacentral:rRNA from 1 species